rnacentral:rRNA from 1 species
GACGAACGCUGGCGGCGUGCUUAACACAUGCAAGUUGAACGAUGAACUUGGAGCUUGCUCUGGGGGAUUAGUGGCGAACGGGUGAGUAACACGUGAGUAACCUGCCCUGGACUCUGGGAUAACUUCGAGAAAUCGGAGCUAAUACCGGAUAGGACCUUGCACCGCACGGUGUGGGGGGGAAAGUUUUUCGGUUUGGGAUGGACUCGCGGCCUAUCAGCUUGUUGGUGAGGUAAUGGCUCACCAAGGCGUCGACGGGUAGCCGGCCUGAGAGGGUGACCGGCCACACUGGGACUGAGACACGGCCCAGACUCCUACGGGAGGCAGCAGUGGGGAAUAUUGCACAAUGGGCGCAAGCCUGAUGCAGCAACGCCGCGUGCGGGAUGACGGCCUUCGGGUUGUAAACCGCUUUUAGUAGGGAAGAAGCCUUCGGGUGACGGUACCUGCAGAAAAAGGACCGGCUAACUACGUGCCAGCAGCCGCCGUAAUAC